GCCUUAAUAGCUUAAAUCCAAAGCACUGGUCUUGUAAACCAAAGACGGGAACUAAUCACCCCUUAAGACA
rnacentral:tRNA from 2 species